rnacentral:tRNA from 1 species
GGAUAGCUCAGUUGGUUAGAGCGUGGUGCUGAUAACACCAAGGUUGCAAGUUCGAUUCUCAUAUGGGAUGCA